UUCCUCAGCACAAUCACUGCGGUACACACUAUCCAAGAGAGCUGUGUGGCGUUCAUGGUCCAGUGUCUGAUGCGCCAUCCUGUCCGUUUCCAAGGCCUACGGUCACACGCUUUCAUCAUCCCAACUUGGAAGAAGUGCACAGCUUGGGAUUGCGGAACAAUCAUUCUCUGCGCUGGAAGUACUGAAUCAACACUGGAAAUUGUGUCUGUUGAUGAAGCAUCAGCGCAGGAUCUUUGCCUGAACUCGUCUGUAGCAGAUUGCAUUGUAGAGAUUGAGAUUGAGAUUGAGAGUGGGCAUUGAUGUGUCGCUUUACACAACGUCAUUCAAUUUCCAUUCUCCUUGAUUACCUUCAACCUUGACAGUAUUAUUUUUGUGUUUCUGUUACAUCGAUGGAUUCAAAUACUAUUGUUCUUCUUAAGUUACAAGUUGCAAUUUGCUUGCGGUUUAGAACUCAGUAACUUUGUAUUGUGAUUGAGGUUGCUGAGUUUGUUUUCCUGUAGGCUUUAUGGGCUUUGUGUAGGGAUCUAAAGAGCUCCAAACUCUCAGUCUUCUGCAUGGAUAUUGUCAACGCCACUCAAUGUUCUAUUGAGUACUAUAUUCCCAACUUGUUGUAUACUACAUUCAACAACAAGCACACGGAUAUCAAGUGGUACUUACUUUAGUGGUUGAAAUUAGAAUUCUGAUGUAUGGAAUAACAUGUUGAAACUAUACCAGUACAUUGAGCACAAGAAUGCAUCAGACGAGAUUGUUGUCAUGUGUUAUCACAAUUUUUUUAUUAUUAUAGAUUUUUAGAGUUAUUAUUUCAAUCUUGUUUAUUCCCCUUAUAAAGAAAUAAAUAUUUUGUGACAGAAACAUCCAACUUUGAUUAAUUAAUUAGUCAAAUGAGAUAUAGUCAUCUGAAAAUACUAGGCUUAACUAAAAUUGUGUACUUAUUCUUAAGCAUCAUAAUUUACAAUAUUUUGAAUCAGGAAUUUUAGAGUGUUGGAAAAUAAUUAUCAGAUUUACAAUCUGCAUGACAGAAUAAUCUGAAUGAUUUAUCUAUUUUUUUUUAAGAUAAUUUAUAAGAAAUAUACAUCAUUUUGAAUUGCUAAAGAUAAAUUAUUUUGAUUUCAUUGUUAGUUGAUAUAUAUGUAUAUAUACUUAUAUGUUUAGAUUUGUGUAGUAAAUUUAAAGUACAAAUCUUUUAUUUUCAUGUUAAACAUAUAUAUAUAUAUAUAUAUAUAUAUAUAUAAGUAAGACUCCAAUGAAUAUAUGUAUGCAUGAUCUUAGAAGUUCAAAUUUAAUGCAGAAUCUAAUUCAGGCUUUCAAUUACUUGGUAAUUAAAACUUUAAACUAAUUUAAAUUUAUUAUUAUUAUUAUUAUUAUUAUUUUAGCAAUGUAUGGUAACCUGAGUUACUGUAAAAUUAGAUGGAGGAUUUAGUAGCUUAUGAAUUUGACCAUUGUAUUUUUUUUACUAAUGUGUUAAAAAUGUUUUAAAAAACACGUACAAUAAAAAACAAUAACAUUAGUAAUUCUAUAUCUCUAAUUACGUGAAACUGAAAGUAAAGAAAAGAAUAAAAAAAAACCAUCACUCACCUACCAGCCAUGAAUUGAUAAAUAUUCAACCCUGAAGGAAAAUCACAUCUUUUUUUUUUUUAAUCUAUUACAAUCUCAGAUUCGACCAUUCUCUUCAACAGUGAUGCAUCAUUAAAUCCUGAGAUAAAUCCGUUUACUAAUCCAAGAGUGGAAUUCCACGAACACUAAUACCAACUAGUGCAAUAAAAAAACUAUAAAAACAUAACUAGUUAGUUGGGUUUGAAGACCCACUCCCCACCUUCUCAAGCCCACACCACCCACGACACGGUAUUACACCCUUAAAUCACUGUCCGAGUAUAUACAGCGUGAGUACAACAAACGGAAUACGGCAUAGUAAGUCCUAGUAGUAGAGAUACAGAGUAGGAACGGUACUCCGUGGGGGCUGGGCUCCCGCGCAACUCAGGCCACCUCCCGCGCAACUCUUUCUUCCUUCUUCUAUCUGCAUCAGCAGCAGCGUUGCGACGAUGCCAUGCAAAAUAAGAUCCGGCCAUAGCCAUAGCCAGGCACUCUGGCAU
rnacentral:lncRNA from 1 species